ACGGGAGGCAGCAGUGGGGAAUAUUGCACAAUGGGGGAAACCCUGAUGCAGCGACGCCGCGUGAGCGAAGAAGUAUUUCGGUAUGUAAAGCUCUAUCAGCAGGGAAGAAAAUGACGGUACCUGACUAAGAAGCACCGGCUAAAUACGUGCCAGCAGCCGCGGUAAUACGUAUGGUGCAAGCGUUAUUCGGAUUUACUGGGUGUAAAGGGAGCGUAGACGGCAUGGCAAGUCUGAAGUGAAAUGCGGGGGCUCAACCCCUGAACUGCUUUGGAAACUGUCAAGCUAGAGUGUCGGAGAGGUAAGUGGAAUUCCUAGUGUAGCGGUGAAAUGCGUAGAUAUUAGGAGGAACACCAGUGGCGAAGGCGGCUUACUGGACGAUAACUGACGUUGAGGCUCGAAAGCGUGGGGAGCAAACAGGAUUAGAUACCCUGGUA
rnacentral:rRNA from 1 species